rnacentral:tRNA from 1 species
GCCUAGUUAGCUUAGUUGGUAGUGCGUCUAACUUGUAAGCGCUAGGCCGCGGGUUCGAUUCCCGCCCGGGGCG